GUAUCACGUGGCCACAGCAGGACUGGUGACGCCAGUUCAUGACGUCAGGCACUUCCUCGCCGGCAAACGCGCGCAUAUAAAAGCUUGCAAUCACAUCCACGUGCAUCUCACACCUCUUGCACUUACGCCAAGUCGUAUCACGACGCAGACGCUUCCAUCAUGAAUACGUUGACGAUCGUGUUGGUGGCGGCAUUCGCUGUAGUCGCGAGCGGAAUGAAAGACGGCCAUCCCAAUGACCAGGAGUUCCACCACACUCUUCAUGAAGCUAAAACGAUGUGCAUGGAUAUUAUGAUGCCAUCCGAAGACGAAA
rnacentral:lncRNA from 1 species